rnacentral:rRNA from 1 species
GACGUAGGGGGCCAGCGUUGUUCGGAAUUACUGGGUGUAAAGGGUUCGUAGGCGGUGCGGCAAGUUGGGAGUGAAAUCUCUGGGCUUAACCCAGAGGCUGCUUCCAAAACUGCUGUGCUUGAGUGUGGGAGAGGCGCGUGGAAUUGCAGGUGUAGCGGUGAAAUGCGUAGAUAUCUGCAGGAACACCCGUGGCGAAAGCGGCGCGCUGGACCACUACUGACGCUGAGGUGCGAAAGCGUGGGGAGCGAACGGG